GAGGAAUAUGAAAAAAGAUGCUUAUUUUGGAAAUUAAGAAAAUGAGGCCCAGCAGAGAGAAUUACCUGGAGUCAUGGAGCAAGUUAGUGGCAGAAACAGGGCUCUAACCCGGAGAUCCUAAUUUCAGUGUCUCUGUUCACCACUACACUGACUGUUUCAUAGUGUGUGCAGAGCUGUGUCCUGAAUUCCGUAAUUCAGUUGCAUUCAAAUGCACGAGUCCCUGCUGCUGCUGCUGCUUCUGCUGAUUGCAGUAUGCAUCUGGUAGUUGGAUCGUUGUACUUUCCUCAUGUUCACAGACAGAAACUCAUCUAGAAUAAACCCCUAAUCGGAUAGACGGGAAUGCUAAGGACGCUUGUCCCAGAUGUUUUCAUCUCAAAGAAGCUCUCCCUUAAAGCACAUGGUCAAGAAAAGAAGAAAAAGAGAAACCCCCAAAUCCGAAGCAUUAAUGGCAUGUGAUGAUUAAACUCUUUGCUUCAAAGGAGCGCUCUGGAGAACAAAUCCAAGCUCCCAUAAUCUCUUAAAAAGAGCAAAUCUGUUUGAUAUCGAGCUGAAAGAAGUCUUUUAGAGUACCCAUCCCCUCCUAUCUCCUCACCGUCCCCCACCUCUUUAAUUUCUUUUUCUUUUGUGUCCUCAGUUGGAUUCCUUUAUUUGCUGUAACAUUUAAAAAAUAAACCAUCUUUGCUUUUU